rnacentral:rRNA from 1 species
AGCGUACACGGUGGAUGCCCUGGCAGUCAGAGGCGAUGAAGGGCGUGCUAAUCUGCGAUAAGCGCCGGUAAGGUGAUAUGAACCGUUAUAACCGGCGAUACCCGAAUGGGGAAACCCAGUGUGAUUCGUCACACUAUCAUUAACUGAAUCCAUAGGUUAAUGAGGCGAACCGGGGGAACUGAAACAUCUAAGUACCCCGAGGAAAAGAAAUCAACCGAGAUUCCCCCAGUAGCGGCGAGCGAACGGGGAGGAGCCCAGAGCCUGAAUCAGCAUGUGUGUUAGUGGAAGCGUCUGGAAAGGCGCGCGAUACAGGGUGACAGCCCCGUACACAAAAGCGCAUGUGCUGUGAGCUCGAUGAGUAGGGCGGGACACGUGGUAUCCUGUCUGAAUAUGGGGGGACCAUCCUCCAAGGCUAAAUACUCCUGACUGACCGAUAGUGAACCAGUACCGUGAGGGAAAGGCGAAAAGAACCCCGGCGAGGGGAGUGAAAAAGAACCUGAAACCGUGUACGUACAAGCAGUGGGAGCACAGGUUUACCUGUGUGACUGCGUACCUUUUGUAUAAUGGGUCAGCGACUUAUAUUCUGUAGCAAGGUUAACCGAAUAGGGGAGCCGGAGGGAAACCGAGUCUUAAUUGGGCGUUAAGUUGCAGGGUAUAGACCCGAAACCCGGUGAUCUAGCCAUGGGCAGGUUGAAGGUUGGGUAACACUAACUGGAGGACCGAACCGACUAAUGUUGAAAAAUUAGCGGAUGACCUGUGGCUGGGGGUGAAAGGCCAAUCAAACCGGGAGAUAGCUGGUUCUCCCCGAAAGCUAUUUAGGUAGCGCCUCGUGAAUUCAUCUCCGGGGGUAGAGCACUGUUUCGGCUAGGGGGCCAUCCCGGCUUACCAACCCGAUGCAAACUGCGAAUACCGGAGAAUGUUAUCACGGGAGACACACGGCGGGUGCUAACGUCCGUCGUGAAGAGGGAAACAACCCAGACCGCCAGCUAAGGUCCCAAAGUCAUGGUUAAGUGGGAAACGAUGUGGGAAGGCCCAGACAGCCAGGAUGUUGGCUUAGAAGCAGCCAUCAUUUAAAGAAAGCGUAAUAGCUCACUGGUCGAGUCGGCCUGCGCGGAAGAUGUAACGGGGCUAAACCAUGCACCGAAGCUGCGGCAGCGAACGUAUCACUUAAAGCGAUUCAGCGGGUUACGAUUGACGGAGCGAAGCGACGUCAAAGCGUAUACAAAGUCGAGUCGGUUUAAGGAUACGUUCGUUGGGUAGGGGAGCGUUCUGUAAGCCUGUGAAGGUGUGUCGUGAGGCAUGCUGGAGGUAUCAGAAGUGCGAAUGCUGACAUAAGUAACGAUAAAGCGGGUGAAAAGCCCGCUCGCCGGAAGACCAAGGGUUCCUGUCCAACGUUAAUCGGGGCAGGGUGAGUCGACCCCUAAGGCGAGGCCGAAAGGCGUAGUCGAUGGGAAACGGGUUAAUAUUCCCGUACUUGGUGUUACUGCGAAGGGGGGACGGAGAAGGCUAUGUUGGCCGGGCGACGGUUGUCCCGGUUUAAGCGUGUAGGUGUGUGUUCCAGGUAAAUCCGGUUCACUUUAACACUGAGGCGUGAUGACGAGGCACUACGGUGCUGAAGCAACAAAUGCCCUGCUUCCAGGAAAAGCCUCUAAGCAUCAGGUAACAUCAAAUCGUACCCCAAACCGACACAGGUGGUCAGGUAGAGAAUACCAAGGCGCUUGAGAGAACUCGGGUGAAGGAACUAGGCAAAAUGGUGCCGUAACUUCGGGAGAAGGCACGCUGACAUGUAGGUGAAGUGAUUUACUCAGGGAGCUGAAGUCAGUCGAAGAUACCAGCUGGCUGCAACUGUUUAUUAAAAACACAGCACUGUGCAAACACGAAAGUGGACGUAUACGGUGUGACGCCUGCCCGGUGCCGGAAGGUUAAUUGAUGGGGUCAGCGCAAGCGAAGCUCCUGAUCGAAGCCCCGGUAAACGGCGGCCGUAACUAUAACGGUCCUAAGGUAGCGAAAUUCCUUGUCGGGUAAGUUCCGACCUGCACGAAUGGCGUAAUGAUGGCCAGGCUGUCUCCACCCGAGACUCAGUGAAAUUGAACUCGCUGUGAAGAUGCAGUGUACCCGCGGCAAGACGGAAAGACCCCGUGAACCUUUACUAUAGCUUGACACUGAACAUUGAGCCUUGAUGUGUAGGAUAGGUGGGAGGCUUUGAAGCGUGGACGCCAGUCUGCGUGGAGCCGACCUUGAAAUACCACCCUUUAAUGUUUGAUGUUCUAACGUGGACCCGUAAUCCGGGUUGCGGACAGUGUCUGGUGGGUAGUUUGACUGGGGCGGUCUCCUCCUAAAGAGUAACGGAGGAGCACGAAGGUUGGCUAAUCCUGGUCGGACAUCAGGAGGUUAGUGCAAUGGCAUAAGCCAGCUUGACUGCGAGCGUGACGGCGCGAGCAGGUGCGAAAGCAGGUCAUAGUGAUCCGGUGGUUCUGAAUGGAAGGGCCAUCGCUCAACGGAUAAAAGGUACUCCGGGGAUAACAGGCUGAUACCGCCCAAGAGUUCAUAUCGACGGCGGUGUUUGGCACCUCGAUGUCGGCUCAUCACAUCCUGGGGCUGAAGUAGGUCCCAAGGGUAUGGCUGUUCGCCAUUUAAAGUGGUACGCGAGCUGGGUUUAGAACGUCGUGAGACAGUUCGGUCCCUAUCUGCCGUGGGCGCUGGAGAACUGAGGGGGGCUGCUCCUAGUACGAGAGGACCGGAGUGGACGCAUCACUGGUGUUCGGGUUGUCAUGCCAAUGGCACUGCCCGGUAGCUAAAUGCGGAAGAGAUAAGUGCUGAAAGCAUCUAAGCACGAAACUUGCCCCGAGAUGAGUUCU